AGGACGGGCGCCGCUGCUCGGCCCGUUUGUUAUCGAACGACGCUCCAGUCUGUUCACCUGCAAACGACCAAACUGUGAAUUGGCAAAAUUUCCAGGUCUACAGUAACGACAUUGAAAAAGUAUCGGAAGGAUCGGGAGUGGAGCUACGUUAUAGGAGAAAAACACUAAACUAGAUGUACAACAAUUGCAAAAAGCAGAUAAGCUAACAUA